UACGUAGGGUGCAGGCGUUAAUCGGAAUUACUGGGCGUAAAGCGCGUGUAGGUGGUUGCCUAAGUCACUGUUGAAAGCUCCCGGCUAAACUGGGAGAGGUGCGGUGAGACUGAGCGGCUAGAGUAUGGGAGAGGGAUGCAGAAUUCCGGGUGUAGUGGUGAAAUGCGUAGAGAUCGGAGGAAUACCAGAGGCGAAGGCGGCAUCCUGGCCGUAAAACUGACACUGAGACGGCGAAAGCAUGGGGAGGCGAACGGG
rnacentral:rRNA from 1 species